UACAGAGGUCCCAAGCGUUGUUCGGAUUCAUUGGGCAUAAAGGGUGCGUAGGUGGCGCUGUAAGUCGGGUGUGAAAUUUCGGAGCUUAACUCCGAAACUGCAUUCGAUACUGCGGUGCUCGAGGACUGGAGAGGAGACUGGAAUUCAUGGUGUAGCAGUGAAAUGCGUAGAGAUCAUGAGGAAGACCAGUGGCGAAGGCGGGUCUCUGGACAGUUCCUGACACUGAGGCACGAAGGCCAGGGGAGCAAACGGG
rnacentral:rRNA from 1 species